AUUUGGGACCAUCUUCAAUCCACUACAGUCCCCAUUCUCCACUUGCAGUCCGAAUUCCCCCACAGGCAGCCUUUCUGUGUAUCUGAUGUGCGUCCUUGAAUUUGAACAUAGUGUCUAACGGAUGGGUGCCUGAGUGGCCAACGCCCCUGCCAGAAACAAUGCUGAAUGAGCACCUCCCCACAUGCCCCUUUUGGACAAAAAGUGUCUCUGCGCCGCAUACCGAGGAGUGGCAUUGCUGUGGGCAGAAGACUUACGCAGUCGACUUGAACCAGCACCAUCAGACAGCCUCCGGAGUGGCUGCACCUUCUCAUACUCCCUUGCAGAGAACAAGGGUUCCUCUUCCCCCCCUACUCCAGCUAACACUUGGCAUUAGCUGACUUUCUAAUUUUUGCUGACCUGAUGAGUGUACAGAGUAAAGUUUCAUGUUGAACUUUUAAAACAAAGGGGGAAAAUACAGAGGGAAAAGAAUAGGAAGGAAAGUGGUUAGGAGGGAAGGAAAUGGCAGCUGGCUAAGUGGGAAGAAUUGGGAAGUCAAGUUUUCUGGACUGCACAGUACCCUACAGAAUCCUAGGGGCCAUCAGAGCAGCUGCAGGUCACCUUGUGGAAAAGUGCAAAAUACAGUUUAGACAUUUGGAAUUUGGCUUCCUGGCAGCCUGGCUGGAAGGUGUUGGUUCCACAGGGCCAAGGCUGGCUGUGCCUGCCUCCCUCUGGGUCCUGGAAGCUGAGGGAGGUGGACCAGCCUCCAGCUCCCAGGUUCUUAUGCUCCUCCUAUUUAUCUCUCAGUCCUUUCCUGGCAGCCAGAGAGUCCAUCUUUAGCGGGGACCUGUACAGUAUUGUUUUAAUCUUCAGCUCUCUCUGCUUCCUCUCUGUUCCCUUCCUCCCUUCCUCUUCUCCUUGUCUACCACACAGAACAGAUGUGGAAAAAGCCAGGCCUUUAGGAACAUCUGCUGAGACACCAGCUGCCUUCCUCCUGGGCUAAGGAAACUGUGACCCCUCUGAUUAUUGGGUUUCAUCCAAGGACCUCAGUUCUCUGGCCAGAAUAUUUGCAUCGAAGUCAGCAAGGUCUUCUAGCUAUUUAAGAGAAUUUGCUAAAUCCCUGAAGAUCUGUACAUAUAGAAGGAAGGGAGAGAUGCUAUUUUUUAAACAUUGGCUGCAGUUGGAGCUGGCUGGCCCAGAAGUGCAGAAUUCCCAAUGCUUCCCAAGGAGCAUGCAUCACUCUCGGAAAUACCUGGACACAUAGGAGAGGUAUAGGAAAAAUGAGUUGAGUUGUUCUGAUUAAGAAAGGAACUGCAAUUUGGAACUUGAUCAGCAGCUGCAUGCUGACUGCUAGAGGAAGAAGGGUUUGUUUCUGUUUUUGUUUCUUUGUUUUUUUGGGAGGGGACAAAGUGAUUUCUGAAAGAGAAUGAGAGGGCCUAGAAGUAAAAAUGAGGCAGAGGGAAUUGGAGGAGGAAAUGGCCAGUGAUAAAUUCCUCCUAGCAGGAGUUCCCCGCCCAGAUGGGGACUUCAGUGUAGAAUCAUUUACUUUGGGGAUGACACCUCUUGUUAACUGCAGACCUGCAGGAAACAUCUGCUAAACUUGACAGCUGUGAGCUGCUGGUGGUCAUUGAAAGACCAGCAUUAAGUUGACAGGCAGAAAGAAAACACAGUCCCGGGGGAAGAAAGGAAUGAGAUGGGAGUGCUCAGUGUGAACAGGAAAUCAGAGCCAGGGAUGACCAGUAAAAUAUAAGCCCUGGGGGAAUCUAGAAACAUCUUGGAAAGGGCCCAAGGCUUUUCCAUAACAUGUGGACUGGGAGGCUCUCGGGAAGGACCCCAGACUGGUGAACUUGGGAAUAUGCAAGCUGAAGGCAUCUGGGAUACACGAGUGGGUGCACACACGCACAUGCGCACACACGCACAUGCACACUCACACGCACACAUGCACACACUGCAGAUCCCCUAGAGUAGUGGUCCUCAACCUUGGCUGCACAUUUGAAUUGCCUGGGGCUUUAAAAAAUGCCAGAGCCUACCCUCACCCCAAUGCCACCAAACCAAUGACAUCAGAAUCUGUGGGAAUCAGACCCACACGUCAGGUUUUCAAAGCUCCCAGGGCUGAGCAGCAUUGUUCUACAGCCUGACAGCUCCAGCUGCCUGGAGAGCAGAUGCCAUUUACAGUCUCCUGCAACCAAAGACUCGCCUGAACCAUCGUGCCCUUCCAUCACACACCAUACCCAGGCCUUCUCCCUUCCUUUCUCACCACCUCCCCUACCCGCUUCCCAACAGAUCUCCUCCCACAGUCACAAGAUAAGACACAGGCGCCCAGUGGAAUUUAAGCCUGAGAGAAACCACAAAUAAUUUUGUUUAAUAUAAGUAUGAGUUGUGUAAAAUUAGUAGAUGUCAUGCAACAUACUCAUACUAAAAGUUAUUUGUGAUUUCUCUAAAAUUCAAAUUUAACCAGGCAUCCUGUGUUUUUAGUUGCUAAAUCUGACAAUCCUAGAUAGAGACAACUUAAAAACAAAUAGAGAGUGUCCUUCCUCGACAAGGGACAGAGAUCUGGUACCACCACUAGCACUAGACCCAGAGUCAAAGCCCAGGGCUCCUGGGCUGAGGCCCCUGGGAGAAUCAGCAAAGCUUUUCGCCUUCCCCACACGUGCUGUGGGCGCGCAGUACUGCAAGUUAUCACCACCAGAGGGCGCACUCUGAGUAGGCGGGAGGAGCCCGCAGGGACAAGACCCCAAUCCACAGAUGCUUAGAGAGACAGUGAGGGCGCAAUCCCCAAAGGAGCAUUAGUGUUCAACUGGUGGGGUCCAGGGACAUUUCUUCCUCUUCUAAACUAAAUGAUCCCGAAGACACCUGAGAUUCAAUGAGAGAGAAGGGUGAGCCCGGGGUAGAAUGGUAAGA
rnacentral:lncRNA from 1 species